AGCGAACGCUGGCGGCAGGCUUAACACAUGCAAGUCGAGCGGGCACUUCGGUGUCAGCGGCAGACGGGUGAGUAACACGUGGGAACGUACCCUUUGGUUCGGAAUAACGCUGGGAAACUAGCGCUAAUACCGGAUACGCCCUUUUGGGGAAAGGCUUGCUGCCGAAGGAUCGGCCCGCGUCUGAUUAGCUAGUUGGUGGGGUAAUGGCCUACCAAGGCGACGAUCAGUAGCUGGUCUGAGAGGAUGAUCAGCCACACUGGGACUGAGACACGGCCCAGACUCCUACGGGAGGCAGCAGUGGGGAAUAUUGGACAAUGGGCGCAAGCCUGAUCCAGCCAUGCCGGGUGAGUGAUGAAGGCCUUAGGGUUGUAAAGCUCUUUUGUCCGGGACGAUAAUGACGGUACCGGAAGAAUAAGCCCCGGCUAACUUCGUG
rnacentral:rRNA from 1 species